CGGACGGGUGAGUAACACGUGGAUAACCUACCUAUAAGACUGGGAUAACUUCGGGAAACCGGAGACUAAUACCGGAUAAUAUAUUGAACCGCAUGGUUCAAUAGUGAAAGACGGUUUUGCUGUCACUUAUAGAUGGAUCCGCGCCGCAUUAGCUAGUUGGUAAGGUAACGGCUUACCAAGGCAACGAUGCGUAGCCGACCUGAGAGGGUGAUCGGCCACACUGGAACUGAGACACGGUCCAG
rnacentral:rRNA from 1 species